rnacentral:rRNA from 1 species
CUUGGUCAUUUAGAGGAAGUAAAAGUCGUAACAAGGUCUCCGUAGGUGAACCUGCGGAGGGAUCAUUACACAAAUAUGAAGGCGGGCUGGAACCUCUCGGGGUUACAGCCUUGCUGAAUUAUUCACCCUUGUCUUUUGCGUACUUCUUGUUUCCUUGGUGGGUUCGCCCACCACUAGGACAAACAUAAACCUUUUGUAAUUGCAAUCAGCGUCAGUAACAAAUUAAUAAUUACAACUUUCAACAACGGAUCUCUUGGUUCUGGCAUCGAUGAAGGACGCAGCGAAAUGCGAUAAGUAGUGUGAAUUGCAGAAUUCAGUGAAUCAUCGAAUCUUUGAACGCACAUUGCGCCCUUUGGUAUUCCAAAGGGCAUGCCUGUUCGAGCGUCAUUUGUACCCUCAAGCUUUGCUUGGUGUUGGGCGUCUUGUCUCUAGCUUUGCUGGAGACUCGCCUUAAAGUAAUUGGCAGCCGGCCUACUGGUUUCGGAGCGCAGCACAAGUCGCACUCUCUAUCAGCAAAGGUCUAGCAUCCAUUAAGCCUUUUUUUCAACUUUUGACCUCGGAUCAGGUAGGGAUACCCGCUGAACUUAAGCAUAUCAAUAAGCGGAGGAAAAGAAGCCAACAGGGAUUGCCCUAGUAACGGCGAGUGAAGCGGCAACAGCUCAAAUUUGAAAUCUGGCUCUUUUAGAGUCCGAGUUGUAAUUUGCAGAGGGCGCUUUGGCUU